rnacentral:rRNA from 1 species
ACGGAAGGCAGCAGUGGGGAAUAUUGCACAAUGGGCGAAAGCCUGAUGCAGCGACGCCGCGUGAGUGAAGAAGUAUCUCGGUAUGUAAAGCUCUAUCAGCAGGGAAGAAAAUGACGGUACCUGACUAAGAAGCCCCGGCUAACUACGUGCCAGCAGCCGCGGUAAUACGUAGGGGGCAAGCGUUAUCCGGAUUUACUGGGUGUAAAGGGAGCGUAGACGGUUUGGCAAGUCUGAAGUGAAAUGCGGGGGCUCAACUCCUGAACUGCUUUGGAAACUGUCGAACUAGAGUGCAGGAGAGGUAAGUGGAAUUCCUAGUGUAGCGGUGAAAUGCGUAGAUAUUAGGAGGAACACCAGUGGCGAAGGCGGCCUACUGGACUGUAACUGACGUUGAGGCUCGAAAGCGUGGGGAGCAAACAGGAUUAGAUACCCUGGUA